UUUAGGGAGACCUACACCCCUCAAAUAUUGAAAGCAAACAGCAAAUAAAUAUUGAGAUGGUCAAACCUAGGUCGGUCGCAGACAUUUUGUUGUUAGCUUUCAAACUAUGAUUUGGUUCAAUUAUGGGCUAUUAGCUCAGGUGGUUAGAGCGCACCCCUGAUAAGGGUGAGGUCCCUGGUUCGAGUCCAGGAUGGCCCACCUGAACAAGUAAAAAGUCAAAAUUCGAAAUUCAAAAGUAAACACUUUUGGAAGUAGAGGUUUGAAUUUUGUCUUGUUGAUGGGGGUUUAGCUCAGUUGGUAGAGCGCCUGCUUUGCAAGCAGGAUGUCAGCGGUUCGAGUCCGCUAACCUCCACCUUGAUAGCGUCAGCUAAAAAUAGAGGGAUUGAAUUCAGCAAAGUGACAUAUAGCAUGAUUAGAUUAUGUAAAUGUCAGACUGCUGGGUAAGAAUCCAGCCAGAACCUUGAAAACUGCAUAGGAAUGCGAAAAAAGCAGGCAGACAUAGACAUUAGUGAGUGCCAAGUCUUGGUGCUGAUUAGAAUCAGAGUUACUUAGACGAAGCAGUCAAAAAAAGAAAGUGUUUGCAAUUGAAGGCAAUUGUUUGAGU
rnacentral:tRNA from 1 species